UGGCCUGCCACGCCCCCAUCUUGGGCCUAUAAAAACCCGAGGCGCCCUACCCCCAGCAGGUAGACACAAAAAGCGGCUGAGCAUUGUGAGGAACACGUCGGCAGAGGAAGAUACAAGCCACUGGUCAUCGAGGGCACACUGGCAGAAGAGCACGCCAACAGGCACUAGCAGGUCGACAAGCCGGGCCAUAGACUGGUGGAAUGACGCGAAGUUUUCCAGGGGAAAACCAUCUCCCUUCUGGCUCCCCCAUCUGCUAAGAGUUACUUCUACUCAAUAAGACCUUGUACUCAUUCUCUAAGCCCGUGUGUGCUCCAAUUCUCCUGGUACACCAAGGUAAGAAACCCUGGGAUACAGAAUUCCCUCUGUCCUUGUGAUAAGGAAGGGGGUCUAAUUGAGCUGGUUAACACAAGCCACCUGUAGACGGCAAACUCAAAAGAGCACCCUGUAACAUGCCUACUGGUGCUUCAGCUGUAAACAUUUACCCCUAGACAUUGCCGUGGAGGGGGAGGGGGAGGGGGAAUCUGUAUGCUUCCCUAGAGGUUUGAGGAGCGGGGCACUGAGGAAGUGAGCCACAGCGCCAUUGCACGCCCUGUGAGGGGGACAAGUUUAUCUUCACAGAAAGGUUUCUUCAGCACAUGUCCAAGAACCCAGAAAUGGUCUCAGGAGGGCUUAGCAUUUAACA
rnacentral:lncRNA from 10 species